rnacentral:rRNA from 1 species
AACGAACGCUGGCGGCAGGCCUAACACAUGCAAGUCGAGCGCGCCCUUCGGGGUGAGCGGCGGACGGGUGAGUAACGCGUGGGAACGUGCCCUUUUCUACGGAAUAGCCUCGGGAAACUGAGAGUAAUACCGUAUACGCCCUUUGGGGGAAAGAUUUAUCGGAAAAGGAUCGGCCCGCGUUGGAUUAGGUAGUUGGUGGGGUAAUGGCCUACCAAGCCUACGAUCCAUAGCUGGUUUGAGAGGAUGAUCAGCCACACUGGGACUGAGACACGGCCCAGACUCCUACGGGAGGCAGCAGUGGGGAAUCUUAGACAAUGGGGGCAACCCUGAUCUAGCCAUGCCGCGUGAGUGAUGAAGGCCUUAGGGUUGUAAAGCUCUUUCAGCUGGGAAGAUAAUGACGGUACCAGCAGAAGAAGCCCCGGCUAACUCCGUG